rnacentral:rRNA from 1 species
UACGUAGGUGGCAAGCGUUGUCCGGAAUUAUUGGGCGUAAAGCGCGCGCAGGUGGUUUCUUAAGUCUGAUGUGAAAGCCCACGGCUCAACCGUGGAGGGUCAUUGGAAACUGGGGAACUUGAGUGCAGGAGAGAAGAGUGGAAUUCCACGUGUAGCGGUGAAAUGCGUAGAGAUGUGGAGGAACACCAGUGGCGAAGGCGACUCCUUGGCCUGUAACUGACACUGAGGCGCGAAAGCGUGGGGAGCAAACAGG